rnacentral:rRNA from 1 species
CCUACGGGAGGCUGCAGUGGGGAAUAUUGGACAAUGGGGGCAACCCUGAUCCAGCCAUGCCGCGUGUGUGAAGAAGGCCCUCGGGUUGUAAAGCACUUUCAGUGAGGAAGAACGCCUGGUGGUUAAUACCCAUCAGGAAAGACAUCACUCACAGAAGAAGCACCGGCUAACUCCGUGCCAGCAGCCGCGGUAAUACGGAGGGUGCGAGCGUUAAUCGGAAUUACUGGGCGUAAAGCGCGCGUAGGUGGCUUGAUAAGCCGGUUGUGAAAGCCCCGGGCUCAACCUGGGAACGGCAUCCGGAACUGGCAAGCUAGAGUGCAGGAGAGGAAGGUAGAAUUCCCGGUGUAGCGGUGAAAUGCGUAGAGAUCGGGAGGAAUACCGGUGGCGAAGGCGGCCUUCUGGACUGACACUGACACUGAGGUGCGAAAGCGUGGGUAGCAAACAGGAUUAGAUACCCGUGUAGUC